rnacentral:snoRNA from 8 species
AUUGAUGAUGAUUUAAACAUUCUUCACUUUGACCUGAAUAUCUUGUGAUGAGAAUUUUCAAUCUGAUA